AGUGAACGCUGGCGGUAGGCCUAACACAUGCAAGUCGAACGGCAGCACAGUAAGAGCUUGCUCUUACGGGUGGCGAGUGGCGGACGGGUGAGGAAUACAUCGGAAUCUACUUUUUCGUGGGGGAUAACGUAGGGAAACUUACGCUAAUACCGCAUACGACCUACGGGUGAAAGCAGGGGGUCUUCGGACCUUGCGCGAUUGAAUGAGCCGAUGUCGGAUUAGCUAGUUGGCGGGGUAAAGGCCCACCAAGGCGACGAUCCGUAGCUGGUCUGAGAGGAUGAUCAGCCACACUGGAACUGGGACACGGUCCAGACUCCUACGGGAGGCAGCAGUGGGGAAUAUUGGACAAUGGGCGCAAGCCUGAUCCAGCCAUACCGCGUGGGUGAAGAAGGCCUUCGGGUUGUAAAGCCCUUUUGUUGGGAAAGAAAAGCAGCAGGUUAAUACCCCGCUGUUCUGACGGUACCCAAAGAAUAAGCACCGGCUAACUUCGUG
rnacentral:rRNA from 1 species